AUUGAGAGUAGAAGCUGUCAACAUAUAAAAAACGAGUAUGUGGGUCAUUGCUCUAAGC
ncrna:Acinetobacter soli NIPH 2899 NMT1 RNA